rnacentral:lncRNA from 1 species
AACUUCAAGGAUCUAUUUAUUUGAAGGAUGUCAGAGUUUGCUCCAAUAUUCCAUUUUAAGUCUUUCCAGUAAUGCAGGAAUGUGCACUUCUCUAGGUCACAAAGGGAUCUCUCAGCCAGAACUGGGAAGCCUUUACUGCUGAUGAAUAAACUGCCUAACCAAAUGAACUCCA